rnacentral:rRNA from 1 species
AUUGAACGCUGGCGGCAGGCCUAACACAUGCAAGUCGAGCGAGCGGCGGACGGGUGAGUAAUGUAUGGGGACUGCCCGAUAGAGGGGGAUAACUACUGGAAACGGUAGCUAAUACCGCAUACUAUCGGAUAACCCAUAUGGGAUUAGCUAGUAGGUGAGGUAAGGGCUCACCUAGGCGACGAUCCCUAGCUGGUCUGAGAGGAUGAUCAGCAACACGUGGACUGAGAGACGGCCCAGACUCCUACGGAGGCAGCAUUGGGGAAUAUUGCACAAUGGGCACUAGCCUGAUGCACCCAUGGCGCGUGUCUGUACAAGGCCCUAGGGUUGUAAAGUACUUUCAUUCGUGAGGCGUUACCGACAGAAGAAGCACCGGCUAACUCCGUGCCAGCCGCCGCGGUAAUAC